GGAGCUGCGUCCGACAUGCAGGCGGGGGGUGGAGGCGGGUUCUUCCCCCGCGGCCGGACCCGCAGUGCCGACACCGUGCGGCUCCGCAAGAGAAAAUCUGCGCUGUACAGCGCUGCCCCGGGGGCCGGCGGGGAGCGGGGCCCAGAGCUUAUUGGCGAAAACAUUUAUCUGGUCUUGUUUACCAUAACUCUGCGAGUACUUAACUGCUUUUUAGUCCAGACAAGCUUUGUUCCAGAUGAAUACUGGCAGUCGCUUGAAGUUGCACAUCAUAUGGUUUUCAAUUAUGGCUACUUGACCUGGGAAUGGACAGAAGGUUUAAGGGGUUAUUCAUACCCACUACUAUUUGCAACUAUCUACAGAGUUUUACAGCUACUGGCAAAGGAUGAUGUUCAGCUGCUGAUUUGGAUCCCUAGACUUGUGCAAGCAGUUCUGUCAGCUCUAGCAGACGUAAAGCUUUACUCAUUAGUGAGACACCUAGAAAAUGCAGAAACAGCAAAGUGGGUGUACCUUUGCCAGUUGUGCUCUUGGUUUACAUGGUAUUGCUGUACCAGAACUCUAACAAACACCAUGGAAACAGUUCUCACCAUCUUUGCUCUUUUCUACUAUCCAAUGGAAGGCUCAAAGAUAAGGAGUAGUUGCAAAUAUUUAACUUUGGUAGCACUUGCAUUUAUUAUUCGUCCAACUGCUGUAAUUCCAUGGAUACCUUUGGUGCUCAGGCAUUUCUGGCAAGAACAAAAGAAGGUAGACCUUGUUCUAUACAGCUGUAUUCCAGUAGGAUUGGCCACUCUAGGGAUUUCUUUAAUAAUUGAUCGUGUAUUUUUUGGUGAGUGGAUACUGGUUCAGAUGAAAUUCUUGAAGUUUAAUGUGCUACAGAAUUUGGGGACAUUUUAUGGUUCUCAUCCUUGGCAUUGGUACUUGAGCCAGGGAUUGCCGGUUAUUUUGGGCACCCAUCUACCCUUCUUUAUUCACGGCUGCAUCCAGGCCCCAAAGAGGUACCGGAUCUUUCUAGUGGUAGUGGUUUGGACAUUGUUGGUAUACAGCACGUUGAGCCACAAAGAAUUCAGGUUUAUAUAUCCCGUACUGCCAUUUUGCAUGGUGUUUUGUGGAUAUUCUCUUAAACAAUUGAAAACAUGGAAGAAAUCAGCAAUAACCUUCCUGCUUUUAUCAAAUUUACUCCCAGCCCUGUACACGGGUUUGAUUCACCAGCGUGGCUCUCUUGAUGUCAUGAUUCAUAUGCAGCAGCUCUGUAACAAUUCUUCUAACCAAUCAUGGGCUUCUGUCUUUGUAAUGAUGCCAUGCCACUCUACUCCUUUUUACAGCCAUGUUCACUGUCCUCUACCAAUGAGAUUUCUUCAAUGUCCUCCAGACCUAACUGGAAAAGAGAGUUACCUUGACGAAGCAGAUAUAUUUUACUCUAAUCCACUCAAGUGGCUUAAUGAGGAAUUUUACAAUGGUACACUACCUACUCACUUGGUCUUCUUCAGUGUGCUAGAACAGGAAAUAUCAUCGUUUCUUGUCCUAAAUGGUUACGAGAGAACAGCUACUGUCUUUCACACCCAUAUGCCUCAAGGACGAAUUGGAAGCCACAUCUAUGUCUACACAAGAAGGGUGAAAUGAAGCAUGCUUCAAGAUCAGUUUCUGAACUGGGACCAACUGAAGUCAGUAUUGUACAGUGGUGUCUUGGUUAAACCGCCUUCUAGUACAGAACAGAGGGCAGUGAUACUUGAAAAUAGGUUUGAAAUCGGACAGAAAAGAAUCAACCUUAGACACUGUACUAAGAAGCCAGAGAGAAGCUGCUGCUGCACUGGAUUCCAUCAAUACACUGAGAAAUUGCAUUGUGAGUUAUGGUACAUUUUCAAGUGCUACUUAAUAUUUUGUCCUCCUAACAAAAGGUAAAAGGCGAGAGAGAUUCUGAAUUGUUCCAUAAAAGUAUAUCUAGUUCUCUCAUUCAGCAACUGAGGAAACACUGGAUGAAGGCCAGAAAUGUCUUCCAGUAUCUUGCCAGCAACUAUAAGGAUUACCACAAGACUAACAAUAGGAAAGUAAAGGAUUAGAAAGGUGAAUAAAUCCAAAGCAUUACUACUAAUAAGCAGGGAUCCUAGUUUUCCGUGAUAAAAACAAAUUCUCUGAUACAAAACAACCAUAAAAAUCCACUUUUUUCCAUGAUUAAAAUGAAAUGCUGAACUUUAGUUUCCCUAGCCACAAUAUAUAUAGGUAUCAGUUGAACACAAUGUUUUAUUGACAUAUUUACAAUUUUUAAGAUGACAGUUGGAGCCCGCCGCCUCCUGGAGCUGACAGACAGGGCCCUGUUCAUUCUUCUAAUUAUCCAAAUUUCUGAUGAUCUGAUCUGACCCCGGUCCCAAUUAGAUCAGAUAAUUGGGGUUCCACUUUAUGUGAUUUUAUUUUUUCACAAAAUGUAAAAACUAAAGAUUCUCUGUAAAAACGCAAGGUCUGCAUUUUUCUAUGUCAAACGGAUUUCUAGGAUUCCUGCUAAUAAUUUAGUCAAGUAAAUGUACACAGUCCUUUAUGAACAGAGCCAGACAUUUCCUUUCUGCAAGCUCUAACAAAUUAAAAGAAGAAAGAAGAACAGCUAGUGUAAGGAUAAGGUAGAGACCUCUAAAGUUAUAUUAAUAUGAUUUAUAUUUAACAGUGCCAUAAGCUUGUAUCAUGGGAGUUAGGAAAGUAUUGGACAAAACAUUUAAGUAUCAAAGUUACUUGUUAGUACGAUCUGUACUUCUGAAGGAAUAAUAGAAAAAACACUAAGGAGCCUAUGACAUGAAUAAAUAUGUUGAAUGAAAAAUCUGAA